AGCAGCCGCGGUAAUUCCAGCUCCAAUAGCGUAUAUUAAAGUUGUUGCAGUUAAAAAGCUCGUAGUUGGAUUUCUGGGGCCAGCGUUCGGUCCGUGGCAUUUUGUCAUGUGUACUGGUUUUGUCUGGUCUCAUCCUUGUAGUGAAUAUAUCUGGUAUUUAGUUAUUGGAUGUAGGAGCUGCAUCGUUUACUGUGAAAAAAU
rnacentral:rRNA from 1 species